GGCCAUGGGGGCAGGCUACCAUGCAGUCGAGCGGAUGAAGGGAGCUUGCUCCUGGAUUCAGCGGCGGACGGGUGAGUAAUGCCUAGGAAUCUGCCUGGUAGUGGGGGAUAACGUCCGGAAACGGGCGCUAAUACCGCAUACGUCCUGAGGGAGAAAGUGGGGGAUCUUCGGACCUCACGCUAUCAGAUGAGCCUAGGUCGGAUUAGCUAGUUGGUGGGGUAAAGGCCUACCAAGGCGACGAUCCGUAACUGGUCUGAGAGGAUGAUCAGUCACACUGGAACUGAGACACGGUCCAGACUCCUACGGGAGGCAGCAGUGGGGAAUAUUGGACAAUGGGCGAAAGCCUGAUCCAGCCAUGCCGCGUGUGUGAAGAAGGUCUUCGGAUUGUAAAGCACUUUAAGUUGGGAGGAAGGGCAGUAAGUUAAUACCUUGCUGUUUUGACGUUACCAACAGAAUAAGCACCGGCUAACUUCGUGCCAGCAGCCGCGGUAAUACGAAGGGUGCAAGCGUUAAUCGGAAUUACUGGGCGUAAAGCGCGCGUAGGUGGUUCAGCAAGUUGGAUGUGAAAUCCCCGGGCUCAACCUGGGAACUGCAUCCAAAACUACUGAGCUAGAGUACGGUAGAGGGUGGUGGAAUUUCCUGUGUAGCGGUGAAAUGCGUAGAUAUAGGAAGGAACACCAGUGGCGAAGGCGACCACCUGGACUGAUACUGACACUGAGGUGCGAAAGCGUGGGGAGCAAACAGGAUUAGAUACCCUGGUAGUCCACGCCGUAAACGAUGUCGACUAGCCGUUGGGAUCCUUGAGAUCUUAGUGGCGCAGCUAACGCGAUAAGUCGACCGCCUGGGGAGUACGGCCGCAAGGUUAAAACUCAAAUGAAUUGACGGGGGCCCGCACAAGCGGUGGAGCAUGUGGUUUAAUUCGAAGCAACGCGAAGAACCUUACCUGGCCUUGACAUGCUGAAAACUUUCCAAAGAUGGAUUGGUGCCUUCGGGAACUCAGACACAGGUGCUGCAUGGCUGUCCUCAACUCGGGUCCGGGAAUGUUGGGUUAAGUCCCGUAACGAGGGCAACCCUUGUCCUUAGUUACCAGCACCUCCGGUGGGGCAUUCUAAGGAAACUGCCGGUGACCAACCGGAGGAAGGUGGGGAUGACCUCAAGUCAUCAGGGCCCUUACGGCAAGGGUUACCACGUGCUUCAAUGGUCGGUACAAAGGUUGGCCAAGCCCCCGAGGUGGACUUAAUCCCUUAAAACCGAUUGGAUUCCGGAUCCAAUUUCGGACUCCACUGCGGGAAAGCGGAAUCCUUUGAAUCGGGAAACAAAAUGUCCGGGAAAAAUUUCCCGGGCCCUUGAACCCCGCCCCUCCACACCCGGGAAGGGUGUUUCCCCAAAAAAUGUUGUUACCCCGAGGGGAGAGGUUUCCCAAGGGUAUAUACCUGGGGAACCUGGCACCGGAAAACGGCACAGAGAAAAGGGUUUUUUUUUUU
rnacentral:rRNA from 1 species